AGAGGGUGCAAGCGUUAAUCGGAAUUACUAGGCGUAAAGGGCGUGUAGGCGGAUAUGCAAGUCAGAUGUGAAAUACCUGGGGCUCAACCGAGGAUGGUCAUUUGAAACUGCAUGUCUAGAGUACAAUAGAGGGGAGUGGAAUUUCCGGUGUAGCGGUGAAAUGCGUAGAUAUCGGAAGGAACACCAGUGGCGAAGGCGGCUCCCUGGAUCGAUACUGACGCUGAGGCGCGAAAGCGUGGGGAGCGAACAGGAUUAGAUACCCUGGUAGUCCACGCCGUAAACGAUGAGAACUAGCUGUAGGGGCCUUCGGGUCUUUGUGGCGUAGCUAACGCGCUAAGUUCUCCGCCUGGGGAGUACGGCCGCAAGGCUA
rnacentral:rRNA from 1 species